UAGUCUCAGUUCGGAUCGGAGUCUGCAACCCGACUCCGUGAAGCUGGAUUCGCUAGUAAUCGCGCAUCAGCCAUGGCGCGGUGAAUACGUUCCCGGGCCUUGUACACACCGCCCGUCAAGCCAUGGAAGCCGGGGGUGCCUGAAGUGUGCAGCCGCAAGGAGCGCCCUAAGGUAAAACCGGUGACUGGGGCUAAGUCGUAACAAGGUAUC
rnacentral:rRNA from 1 species